UAUACACUCAAGCCACCCAUUUGCAAACAGUGCUUGAAUGCCAAGUGAGGAAGUCUCUUCAGUGGGUUAGGAGAGGCUAGACUGCAAAAAAGAGCGACUCUUCUAAAAGAAAUGAAAAGAACACAUUGAUUUCCUUUUUCAGAAACAGGAAGCCCUGAAGAGCUCCAGAGACUGGUGCAGCAGCAAAAAUGUCAGAAGCAAACCACGGGGAGCCCCGGGGGGACAGUGGAAACUAUGAGAAGAGCUCCAGGAAAUUCCUCAGGGGACUGACGGUCCUGGGUGCUGGGAAUCCCAAAAGGUUGAUUGAUAGCCUCCAAGACCUAUAACACUCAGCCUGGAACACGAAGAGCUAAGAGGCAUGGCACUCAGAGCUCAGAGCUGUAACACUGAGGACUGAGAGCUGCUGCCUCUUAAAGCCUGAAGCUGCUGAUAGCAAGCAAGCCACGCUUCGCCAAUUCAUGAUUUCUAUCUGAAUACAGCAAGAAGAUCCCUCAACUGAUUGAAGACACCAGAAAGAUAAGAUCUUAAUAUUUACUUCUCAAACUAUUCCUGCUUUACAUAUGAAACAGCUAAGGUUGUGAUUUCUAUGAUUUUUGAAAGUCACUCACUAAGAGAGACUAGAAUCAAACUUGGGCCGAUUCUAAAAUCCUGGGGUCAUGCUACAGAAUACAGCAUCAGAAACAGUUUCAACAACCUGAGAUUAACCAGGAAUUUGUCUCUUGGUUCUUUGUUUCCAAAUAUGUAUCUUGUAAAACGAGUAACUAGAAAUUAUCUGAAAUAUUUGUUGAAUAUAACAACUAUAUUGUACUUGACUGCUCUGUAUAUCUUCUAGGGAAGGCAUUAGAGAAGAGUAGAGGAGAUAGGGAGGAAGUGGGGGAAAAGUUGGAGGAAGGAACCCAGAGAGGUGAACCACGUCAUCUGCUGAGUUUCCGGCCUGCACAAGACUGUACCUGCUCCCCUGAUCCUCUGAUGCUUGAACAGAUAGGUGGGACUGAAGGACUCUUCUGCUCACAAGUGGGCAGAGGGCUCUGAAAGUGCCAGGAGUUUUUCCCUGAGAGCUGGUUAGAGAAGGUUAGAAUGUUUAGGACUUGGGGAAAAGCCAGUAUUAUAUGGGCAACCCUUUGUAUUAUGUGUUCCGCAUUAGUAGCUACAACCAGCCAUGUACUAAGCAGAUUUGAAAAAAGUUGUGUGUGUACUAAACGUACUGAUGUUAUUUUGUCAUUACUAAGUAAUAUAGUAAAACAACUAUUUAUAUCACAUCUAUAUUGCAUUAGGUUUUAUAAACAGCAGAGAGAUUAUUUAAUAUGCACAGGAGGGUACGCAAGGAUCACAUGCAAAUGCUAUACCAUUUUAUUUAAGAAACCUGAGCAUUUGACGAUUUUGACAUUUCAGAGGUGGAGUGAAACUGAAACCAGUCCUUUGAGGAGACCGAGGGACAACUCUGUUGGAGAAACUCUUUUUAGGAAUGUGCUGAUGCGCCCACAGCUGCUUGCUGUGCAGGAGAAUAAAAGUGGUGCCCUGAUGACUAAGUUGGAUGGUGAAUAGAGGCUUCUGACACCAGUGUGAAUUUACAUUAAUUCACAUCGAAAAAAAAAAAAAACAGAGAAAAGAUGAGGCUCUAAAUGUUCAAGUUACUGUCCCCUCAUACCUCUGAACUCAAUCUACUGGAGCAGUUGGCUAUUAUGAGUGUUACUAGAAAAUAAGAGUUUGAACAGCCAAAGAGCCACAUUGUACCACAGAGGACAAAAAAGCAACAUGAAAUGUUGGGACAGAGGAGCCUUUGACAGAGAAGGAUGAACAUCUAUGGCACCCAUUAAGGGGAAACGGAACCCCAGUGGAGUUGCCCAGCAGAUCAAUGAAUGAAUGCAGGGAAUCUCACUGCUGGGUCACAGACACAGCAUAUUAAUUCUACUCUCCUACCUUUAAAUCAAUCCAGUCCCUCGUAACAAAUUCUCUUUAGGGGUUAUGUCUCUUUCUCUGGUCCUUCCACGCCCACCCGCCCGCCCCCAGCCUCCUGACAGCCAGGGGUAGAGCAGCUUUCAUCUGCCAUGCCCUUCUGCCUGCUGUUUCUGCAUCAAUGCCAGUUGACCAUGGACUGAAACCUCUGAAACUCCUCAGCCACCAUGCUGUGAGGAAACACAAGCCACUCAGCAAGUAGGCUCAUGUUGAAAAGAACCACCAACCAGAACCAUAUCAAGGUUCUAGAAAAGACCAUCUGUCCUGCAAAUACUUGGAUUGAGAGAACAAAAAGGCAGUGAAAGAAGACUGGCUGUGUCACUAACAGAAGGAUGAAGAGGGGACCUACACACUGAGAUAGCCAGAAACCACCCUGAACUUCAGUGGAGUGAAAGAUGCAAGCUUGCUAGGAUUAUCCACUCCCCUGCUGUAAAAUUGUGGCUGCCUUGCUGGGAUUAAUCAACUCAGAUCUGGACUCUGCCUGCCCACGUUGUCUACCAGUGACAGGAGAGAUACACCUCAAGGUCAAAGAAGUCAGCAUGGAGUCUUUAGCUCUUGAAUUAUGAUGAAGAAUCUACUGGAUGAGAAACUGGAUGGAUUUGGAAAGGAAAAAAUACAAAACGCAUAUGUAUCUUCUUAAGGUUGACACUUUCCUGGAAGCGAUCAUGGGAUAAGAAGUAAAAAGUUGCUUCCCUAACUAAGGACUUGAUUACAUCUGAAUUGUUUUUAAGUUCUUUAAGGUAUGUUCCAUCAUUAUCCUAAUUUUUAAAGACAAAGAGACCAAAAGGCAAAGAGCAAAAGUAACUUUUCCAAGGACAAGCAACUAGUCAGGACAUUGACUGGGACAAAACAUGCAGAAGCUUUCUGGGAUGGCGGAAAUGUUGGUGUCUCAAUCCUGAGUUCUUUGGUGAUGCAUUCAACUCUGCUCUUAUUAUCUUUGCAUUUUACUGUCUAUGGAUUACCCUUCAACUUAAGAAAUAACUGGCUGGAAUAGAGCCUGCUUAUUUCAGCUGAGACUGAAAUCUUUGAUUUAAAACA